ACUCCUGCGGGAGGCAGCAGUGGGGAAUAUUGCACAAUGGGCGCAAGCCUGAUGCAGCCAUGCCGCGUGUAUGAAGAAGGCCUUCGGGUUGUAAAGUACUUUCAGCGGGGAGGAAGGCAAUACGGUUAAUAACCGUGUUGAUUGGCGUUACCCGCAGAAGAAGCACCGGCUAACUCCGUGCCAGCAGCCGCGGUAAUACGGAGGGUGCAAGCGUUAAUCGGAAUUACUGGGCGUAAAGCGCACGCAGGCGGUCUGUCAAGUCGGAUGUGAAAUCCCCGGGCUCAACCUGGGAACUGCAUUCGAAACUGGCAGGCUUGAGUCUUGUAGAGGGGGGUAGAAUUCCAGGUGUAGCGGUGAAAUGCGUAGAGAUCUGGAGGAAUACCGGUGGCGAAGGCGGCCCCCUGGACAAAGACUGACGCUCAGGUGCGAAAGCGUGGGGAGCAAACAGGAUUAGAAACCCCAGUAGUCCCA
rnacentral:rRNA from 1 species